CCACUGGUUCAGCUCUUCUACAGGUUUUGAAUUUUGGAAGGGCUGUAACAGUCUGCUUUGCUGAAAUGACAAAUGAACAGGACUUGUGUCCUGCAACUGCAAGCUAUGUGGCUUCACCAUGGACUGUUUCAGUCUCCCAUUAGGGAGUCUUGGGCACAAGGACAGUGCUGCUGCACGGGUCGAUAGCUGGGUCAUGGGCCUGGGCAAGCCCUGCUCCCUGUGCUGGUUAAAGCCAGUCUGGAGGUGCUCGCUGCUGGGCGGUGUUCUGCAGUCUGAAUGUGUUAAAUAUAGGAAUAACAGCUGGAAGAAUAGAGGCAGGAGAGUGAACCCGAGGUGAUGAGAAGACAAUACUGGCACACCAAGGGUCACCUGAGGCACUGUGAACCUUUUAGUCCUCUGGAAGAUUGGAGCAAACCUCGGGGGAAAUACCUUAAGCUUUGAGAAUUCACUGAGUCCUGCUUGAAAGGAGCUGAAGGAAACACAGUGCUGGCGACAGUGGUGUGGGAAGCUACGAGCUGGGAGCUGUAUCCUGCCCAGCAACGGAGCUGGUUGUGUCUGCUGCGCCUUCAGAGGAUGGGUGGUGAAAUCGCAGUGAGCAACCUUGUAAGACUGUUGGACUGUGUUUACAACUAAGAAGGACUGCCUAAAGGAUAAAGAUGUCUUUUUCUUUUUCCACAACACUGAUUGAACUCUGAUAAAACACAUUUUUACUUGCUUCUUCGAUGUACACUUAUUCCAUGAG
ensembl:lncRNA